AUUGAACGCUGGCGGAAGGAAGAACACAUGCAAGUCGAGCGGAUGAAGGGAGCUUGCUCCUGGAUUCAGCGGCGGACGGGUGAGUAAUGCCUAGGAAUCUGCCUGGUAGUGGGGGAUAACGUCCGGAAACGGGCGCUAAUACCGCAUACGUCCUGAGGGAGAAAGUGGGGGAUCUUCGGACCUCACGCUAUCAGAUGAGCCUAGGUCGGAUUAGCUAGUUGGUGGGGUAAAGGCCUACCAAGGCGACGAUCCGUAACUGGUCUGAGAGGAUGAUCAGUCACACUGGAACGGAGACACGGUCCAGACCCCGACGGGAGGCAGGAGGGGGGAAUAUUGGAAAAUGGGCGAAACCCUGACCCAGCCAUGCCGCGGGUGUGAAGAAGGUUUGCGGUUUGUAAAGCAUUUUAAGUUGGGGGGAAGGGCAGUAAGUUAAAACCUUGCUUUUUUGACGUUACCAACAGAAUAAGCACCGGAGAACUGCGU
rnacentral:rRNA from 1 species